rnacentral:rRNA from 1 species
CAGCAGCCACGGUAAUACGAAGGGUGCAAGCGUUACCCGGAAUUACUGGGCGUAAAGCGCGCGUAGGUGGUUCGCCAAGUUGGAUGUGAAAUCCCCGGGCUCAACCUGGGAACUGCAUCCAAAACUGGCGAGCUAGAGUAUGGUAGAGGGUGGUGGAAUUUCCUGUGUAGCGGUGAAAUGCGUAGAUAUAGGAAGGAACAUCAGUGGCGAAGGCGACCACCUGGACUGAUACUGACACUGAGGUGCGAAAGCGUGGGGAGCAAACAGGAUUAGAUACCCGAGUAGUCCCUGUCUCUUAUAC